rnacentral:rRNA from 1 species
UACGUAGGGUGCGAGCGUUAAUCGGAAUUACUGGGCGUAAAGCGUGCGCAGGCGGUUCGUUAUGUCCGAUGUGAAAGCCCCCGAGCUCAACUUGGGAAUGGCAUUGGAAACUGGCGGGCUGGAGUGUGGCAGAGGGGGGUGGAAUUCCACGUGUAGCAGUGAAAUGCGUAGAGAUGUGGAGGAACACCGAUGGCGAAGGCAGCCCCCCUGGGCCAACACUGACGCUCAGGCACGAAAGCGUGGGGAGCAAACAGG